rfam:Rahnella aquatilis CIP 78.65 = ATCC 33071, complete genome.
AAAGGCUGGCACUGAAGCUAUAACUAAUAAAAUGAAAUUCCUCUUUGACUGGCCGAUAGAAAUAUCGGCCAUUUUUUU